CGUGUAGCUGCAGCAGCGACCACAGGAAGAUGUAAAGGGGGGGGGAAUGUAAACAAACACUGGAGGAAGACAAUGUGGAGGUGCACAAGAUCAGGAGAUAAGUUUUGGUCCACUUUUUCUUAGAAAGCAAGGACCUCUCCUCAUGACCAGUCUCAGCAGAAAAUUAGAAGAAAAAUUUCAAGAUCAUAUCAAUUUCAAGAUCUUGUAAUGCCACUUAAUUGACUUGGAGAACUAUGCACUACAAGAAGACAUCAGUAGAUGGUCUUUUAGGAUGUAUGUAA